rnacentral:rRNA from 1 species
AGUGAACGCUGGCGGUAGGCCUAACACAUGCAAGUCGAACGGCAGCACAGGAGAGCUUGCUCUCUGGGUGGCGAGUGGCGGACGGGUGAGGAAUACAUCGGAAUCUACUCUGUCGUGGGGGAUAACGUAGGGAAACUUACGCUAAUACCGCAUACGACCUACGGGUGAAAGCAGGGGACCUUCGGGCCUUGCGCGAUUGAAUGAGCCGAUGUCGGAUUAGCUAGUUGGCGGGGUAAAGGCCCACCAAGGCGACGAUCCGUAGCUGGUCUGAGAGGAUGAUCAGCUACACUGGAACUGAGACACGGUCCAGACUCCUACGGGAGGCAGCAGUGGGGAAUAAUGGACAAUGGGCGCAAGCCUGAUCCAGCCAUACCGCGUGGGUGAAGAAGGCCUUCGGGUUGUAAAGCCCUUUUGUUGGGAAAGAAAUCCAGCUGGCUAAUACCCGGUUGGGAUGACGGUACCCAAAGAAUAAGCACCGGCUAACUUCGUGCCAGCAGCCGCCGUAA